GAGGCCUCCGGAGGUCAGCGAGGUGCGGGGUUGGUCGGUGCGACCCCGGGCACGCGGAGCCCAGCAGCCCCCCAGGCGAGAAGCCCCAUUCGGGAGCGAUGGCCUCGGGCCGGCUCCCCACCGCGGCGCUGCCGUGGGAACGGGCGCGGGGCAUCGGCGGGGCUGCGAGCGCAGCCGCUUGGGAAGUGGUGCUGUUCGCCGGCUGCUGCCCGCGCCAGGAAGCGGAGGGGAUGCGUGAUCCCUGGGAACUGGAGGGUCAGCGGGGGAAGGGGCUGGAGCGGCGGAAUAUCAUUAUUUGCCGGAGAAGUGGGUCAGGACGCCGGCACUGGCACCGUUUCUGCGGGAAGUCAAAACAAGACCAGAAAGAAAAGAAUACAAACCCCACCAAAACUAGAAGUGAAAAAUGAAGGCAAACAAACACCAGGUCCCCCGUGGUGGGAAAUGGGGAGGCGGUGGGAAAUGUGGGGGGAUGGAGAGCAACGCAACUGGGCCCCGUGUGGGGCCCCAGCCGAGACCCCAACCCUGAGCGCACCCUGAUCCGGCGGGAGCGGGCACCCUGCCUCCUGGGCUGCGGCCUGCUUUCCCACGGCCUUCCCGUGCCAAACUGAUCCCUCUUGGGAUGCAAACAUCCCUGACAAACACGAGAGGAAUUGGGAGCGUAAGAUGGCACACACAGUCCUGAGCUUCAUCCCAGGCCCACCGAAGUGCAGCCCAGAAGCCAUGUGAAUGGUAUCUGUGUUUGCGAUACUGUUCGCAUCCGAGGGAAACAGUCUAUUUUGCAAGGAUGUGAUGUGACUUUUAAUUGUGGGCAACUUAAGUAUAAAAACGCUUGGUGCUUUAUAGGUACCCUGUUCUACCCAGCCUCUCAGUCCUCAGACACAGGAGCCACAUCUACCAGCUUGUCCUUCAAUUUGAAAAAAAAACCCCUCCUGUGUCAAUUUUACAUUUCAAAGUCCACCUGCUGUACCUGGCUGUUUGGGACGUUAUGAGCUAUCUUGACAUGAAUUGGAAAUUACUGAGUGAACAAAAGUUGGAGGAGGAAAUGUCGAGAUGCUCAAGCAGUCAAUUGUAUUUGGAAAGCAGACUGCAGUUGUGUCUUCUUAUGCAAGAAGAACAACAAAGGCGAUCAAAGAUGAGAUGGAAUGGCUUCCAAAGAAGCCAAGGGAACAAGGAGGAAUAUAUUUGAGGAAUUUGAGGAAAAAGAAGAGCCUGGGAUUCCUCAUUCUGGAAAAGAGACAACCAAUGACCAUGCUCUGUAGAACAAGACCAGACCAUGGGGAGGGUGUCUGCUCACUUGUCUUAGCAGGAGAAACUCUUGGCAGCAAAUGAAACCAGCAUGAGCCAAGUUCAAAAAGACUCCAAACCUAAAGUUCUUCAUGGUGUUAGAGUCAGGCCUUUGAAGAUCCUUGGCAAUGAUGUUCUGGAUUCAGCAUAUUUAUGAGACUUCAAGGACAGACCAACAUGAGAUUGGAAGAAAGGUUCACUAAAUUUUACUAAAUGUAUAUAUACCAUCAGAAUUAGUAUAUCUCUUAAACUUAGAAUUAAUUAGUGGUUGCAGGUUACUUGGGAAAGUAUUAUAUACCAGUCCUCUUUUUGUCAUAGGAACCUACUAACUACUGGAGAAAGAACAUUUGUUUUUCCUGAGUCAAAUGACAUUUUUAGAUGACAUUGUUAUAACUUCCUUCUGCACAGGCAGCUGAGACCUUUAGAGGUCUUAUUAAUAACAGGUAUGGUCCUAUCUGAUGACAGAAACUAUGAUAUUUUUAAAUAAAAUUAUAAAAAGAUAAAAAAGAUAACAGUGGUGUUUACUCAAACCAUCAAAAUAUUCUACCUGCAAUUAAUGAGUGUGCCUUUAGUUAUCCUCUUACCAAAUGACAUUUCCUUAUUUUAAAAUAUAGUUGGAAAUAAGAUAACUAAUUCCAUGGAACCGAAUUUCAGGAGAAAAAUGAAUCCCAAAGUAAUUUUUAUGGUUAAGGUAAAA